rnacentral:lncRNA from 1 species
AGACCCACCUGAACAUGGCAUCACUCGCAGUGUGUCACUCUGCUUUGUCAUGGCCUCUUUGUUCCCUGUCCCUUCCCAACAGAGAGGGCCUAGAAGGCAAAGGCGGGUCCUUCUCAUCCUUGCUCCUCGCACAGAGUUGUUGCUCAACAGUAUCAACCAGAGGAGUGAUGGAGUCAGGGCGAGGACCUGGCAUCUUCCACUGUGUCCCACAGGCUUCUUUGUUGGUGGAGUGAACUUAUUCAUGCUCUUUGAACUUCAAGAUGGAAAAAUCAAAGUCAGAAUCCAUAAGUUUCCCAAGAGCUCCUGA